rnacentral:rRNA from 1 species
CGUGGGUAAUUUGCCGUAAAGUCUGGGAUAACUUGCUGAAAGGCGAGCUAAUACCGGAUGUGAUUGCUGGAGGGCAUCCUCUGGCACUUAAAGUCGGGGACCGUAAGGCCUGACGCUUUUCGAUAAGCCCGCGGCCUAUCAGCUAGUUGGUGAGGUAACGGCUCACCAAGGCUAAGACGGGUAGCUGGUCUGAGAGGACGACCAGCCUCACUGGAACUGAGACACGGUCCAGACACCUACGGGUGGCAGCAGUCGAGAAUUUUUCUCAAUGGGGGAAACCCUGAAGGAGCGACGCCGCGUGGGGGAUGAAUGGCUUCGGCCCGUAAACCCCUGUCAUUUGCGAUCAAACCUUACGACCUAACACGUUGUAAGCUGAUAGUAGCGAAAGAGGAAGGGACGGCUAACUCUGUGCCAGCAGCCGCGGUAAUACAGAGGUCCCAAGCGUUGUUCGGAUUCACUGGGCGUAAAGGGUGCGUAGGCGGUCGGGUAAGUCUGACGUGAAAUCUUCAAGCUCAACUUGGAAACUGCGUCGGAUACUAUUCGGCUAGAGGAAUGGAGGGGAGACUGGAAUACUUGGUGUAGCAGUGAAAUGCGUAGAUAUCAAGUGGAACACCAGUGGCGAAGGCGAGUCUCUGGACAUUUCCUGACGCUGAGGCACGAAAGCCAGGGGAGCAAACGGGAUUAGAUACCCCGGUAGUCCUGGCCCUAAACGGUGCACGUUUGCUGUAAGAGGAAUCGACCCCUUUUGUGGCGAAGCUAACGCGUUAAACGUGCCGCCUGGGAAGUACGGCCGCAAGGUUAAAACUCAAAGAAAUUGACGGGGGCCUGCACAAGCGGUGGAGUAUGUGGCUUAAUUCGAUGCAACGCGAA